GGCUCGUUGGUCUAGGGGUAUGAAUCUCUCGCUUUGGCUGUGAGAAGUCCGGGUUCAAAUCCUGGAUGAGCCC